UACGUAGGUGGCAAGCGUUGUCCGGAUUUACUGGGCGUAAAGAGCGCGCAGGCGGUCGUUCAAGUCGCGUGUGAAAGCCCCCGGCUCAACUGGGGAGGGUCACGCGAUACUGAUCGACUCGAAGGCAGGAGAGGGUAGUGGAAUUCCCGGUGUAGUGGUGAAAUGCGCAGAUAUCAGGAAGAACACCCGUGGCGAAAGCGGCUCUCUGGAACGGUACUGACGCUGAGACGCGAAAGCGUGGGGAGCGAACAGG
rnacentral:rRNA from 1 species